rnacentral:misc_RNA from 1 species
GAUGAAGAACGUAGCGAAAUGCGAUAAGUAAUGUGAAUUGCAGAAUUCAGUGAAUCAUCGAAUCUUUGAACGCACAUUGCGCCCGCCAGUAUUCUGGCGGGCAUGCCUGUCCGAGCGUCAUUUCAACCCUCAAGCCCCCGGGCUUGGUGUUGGAGAUCGGCGAGCCCCCCUGGGCGCGCCGUCUCCCAAAUAUAGUGGCGGUCCCGCUGUAGCUUCCUCUGCGUAGUAGCACACCUCGCACUGGGAAACAGCGUGGCCACGCCGUAAAACCCCCCACUUCUGAAAGGUUGACCUCGGAUCAGGUAGGAAUACCCGCUGAACUUAAGCAUAUCAUAAGCGGAGGA